rnacentral:tRNA from 2 species
GCAGUUGUGGCCGAGUGGCUAAGGCGAUGGACUAGAAAUCCAUUGGGGUCUCCCCGCACAUUUUCGAAUCCUCUCGACUGCG